ensembl:lncRNA
AUGAAUUCUACAGCAAGCCACCUUGUUACUCAUGUGAGCAGGCAACAAAAAGAUAUUGUCACAUCUGCAAGAACUAAGAAAAUGUACCAUCUACAUGUCCUUACCCAACUCUGUCUAACAAGGGCGAUUCCAGAACAAGGUCAUGACAUAAAAGGAGUCGGAACCCAGGUGAGGCGACAAGAGCUGAGCUCAGGUUCUCGGCCUCGGAACUCUCAUGGGGAGGCGCCAGCAUGGGCACCCUCCACAGUUCGGGCCCCUCACUCACAAACCUGGCACAUCGAAACAAGCUGGCAAAAAGGUCUGCAAGUCUGCUGGAACCUGGCACGCAGUGACCCUCCUGCCCAGCCACCCGGUUCCUGA